UUCAGUGUAGAUUUUCCGACAUUCAAGUCAGGAGAUGAAGAACAGUGAAAAGAGAGAGUGAAGAGUCGAUUGAUUGCAUAUUUUGAAAGGAUUUUGUAGUCUUAAUUUAUAGAGGAGUUUGAGUUGUAUUCGUCUCGAAAUCCUUAUGAUUUCUGAAUUUGUCGCAUAAAUUGAUUCGGAGAAGAACUUUUCUUUCACGGGAGAUUUGAUCGCGGAGGAAUUCUAUUUUAUUUGAACUUUUUCUGUUUGAAGAGGAAUCGUAUCUGGUGAAGAACUUAACUCGGCCAUAGCUGAUCUUCAAUAGGUCGUCUAAGCCGAUAUUUAGUAUGUCGUUUGGCCGAGGUACA
rnacentral:lncRNA from 1 species